rnacentral:rRNA from 1 species
AGUGAACGCUGGCGGCGUGCCUAAUACAUGCAAGUCGAACGAAGUGGCGCACGGGUGAGUAAUAUAUAGUUAAUCUGCCCUACACAGAGGAACAACAGUUGGAAACGACUGCUAAUACCUCAUAGUGUAGGAUGAGACUAUAUCGUAUCAGCUAGUUGGUAAGGUAAUGGCUUACCAAGGCUAUGAAGGGUAACUGGUACGGGAGGAUGAUCAGUAACAUCAGAAGUGAGACACCGUCCAAACUCCUACGGGAAGCAGCGGUAAGGAAUAUGACGCAAUGGGGGAAACCCUGACGCAGCAACGGCGCGUGGAGUAUAACACUUCGCGGAGAGUAAACUCCUUUUAUCAGGAAAGCGGUACCUGAUGAAGAAGCAACGGCUAACUCCGUGCCAGCAGCCGCGGUAAUAC